CCUACGGGAGGCUGCAGUCGAGAAUCAUUCACAAUGGGGGCAACCCUGAUGGUGCGACGCCGCGUGGGGGAAUGAAGGUCUUCGGAUUGUAAACCCCUGUCAUGUGAGAGCAAAUUAAGAAGAUAGUACCACAAGAGGAAGAGACGGCUAACUCUGUGCCAGCAGCCGCGUUACUACAGAGGUCUCAAGCGUUGUUCGGAAUCACUGGGCGUAAAGCGUGCGUAGGCUGUUUCGUAAGUCGGGUGUGAUAAGCCGGGGCUCAACCCGCGAACGGCACCUGAGACUGGGAGACUAGAGGAAUGGAGGGGGAACCGGAAUUCACGGUGGAGCAGUGAAAUGCGUAGAGAUCGAGAGGAACACUCGUGGCGAAGGCGGGUUCCUGGACAUUAACUGACGCUGAGGCACGAAGGCCAGGGGAGCGAAAGGGAUUAGAUACCCCAGUAGUC
rnacentral:rRNA from 1 species